rnacentral:rRNA from 1 species
GUUGUAUGGUUAAGUGACUAAGCGUACACGGUGGAUGCCUGGGCAGUCAGAGGCGAUGAAGGACGUACUAACUUGCGAUAAGCGCAGAUAAGGCAGUAAGAGCCGUUUGAGUCUGCGAUUUCCGAAUGGGGAAACCCAACUGCAUAAGCAGUUACUGUUAACUGAAUACAUAGGUUAACAGAGCAAACCGGGGGAACUGAAACAUCUAAGUACCCCGAGGAGAAGAAAUCAACCGAGAUUCCGGUAGUAGCGGCGAGCGAACCUGGAUUAGCCCUUAAGCACUCGGUGAAGUAGGUGAACAAGCUGGAAAGCUUGGCGAUACAGGGUGAUAGCCCCGUAACCGACGCUUCAUCGAGCGUGAAAUCGAGUAGGGCGGGACACGUGAUAUCCUGUCUGAAUAUGGGGGGACCAUCCUCCAAGGCUAAAUACUCCUGACUGACCGAUAGUGAACCAGUACCGUGAGGGAAAGGCGAAAAGAACCCCUGUGAGGGGAGUGAAAUAGAACCUGAAACCGUGUACGUACAAGCAGUAGGAGCACCUUCGUGGUGUGACUGCGUACCUUUUGUAUAAUGGGUCAGCGACUUAUAUUCAGUGGCAAGGUUAACCGUAUAGGGGAGCCGUAGCGAAAGCGAGUCUUAACUGGGCGCUCAGUCUCUGGAUAUAGACCCGAAACCGGGUGAUCUAGCCAUGGGCAGGUUGAAGGUUGAGUAACAUCAACUGGAGGACCGAACCGACUAAUGUUGAAAAAUUAGCGGAUGACUUGUGGCUAGGGGUGAAAGGCCAAUCAAACUCGGAGAUAGCUGGUUCUCCCCGAAAGCUAUUUAGGUAGCGCCUCGGACGAAUACUACUGGGGGUAGAGCACUGUUAAGGCUAGGGGGUCAUCCCGACUUACCAACCCUUUGCAAACUCCGAAUACCAGUAAGUACUAUCCGGGAGACACACGGCGGGUGCUAACGUCCGUCGUGGAGAGGGAAACAACCCAGACCGCCAGCUAAGGUCCCAAAGUAUUGCUAAGUGGGAAACGAUGUGGGAAGGCUCAGACAGCUAGGAUGUUGGCUUAGAAGCAGCCAUCAUUUAAAGAAAGCGUAAUAGCUCACUAGUCGAGUCGGCCUGCGCGGAAGAUGUAACGGGGCUAAGCAAUACACCGAAGCUGCGGCAAUAUCUUUUAGAUAUUGGGUAGGGGAGCGUUCUGUAAGCCGUUGAAGGUGAAUCGUAAGGUUUGCUGGAGGUAUCAGAAGUGCGAAUGCUGACAUGAGUAACGACAAAGGGGGUGAAAAACCUCCUCGCCGGAAGACCAAGGGUUCCUGUCCAACGUUAAUCGGGGCAGGGUGAGUCGACCCCUAAGGUGAGGCCGAAAGGCGUAAUCGAUGGGAAACGGGUUAAUAUUCCCGUACUUCUGACUAUUGCGAUGGGGGGACGGAGAAGGCUAGGUGGGCCAGGCGACGGUUGUCCUGGUUCAAGUGCGUAGGCUUGAGAGUUAGGUAAAUCCGGCUCUCUCUAAGGCUGAGACACGACGUCGAGCUGCUACGGCAGUGAAGUCAUUGAUGCCAUGCUUCCAGGAAAAGCCUCUAAGCUUCAGAUAGUCAGGAAUCGUACCCCAAACCGACACAGGUGGUCGGGUAGAGAAUACCAAGGCGCUUGAGAGAACUCGGGUGAAGGAACUAGGCAAAAUGGUACCGUAACUUCGGGAGAAGGUACGCUCUUGAUGGUGAAGUCCCUCGCGGAUGGAGCUGACGAGAGUCGCAGAUACCAGGUGGCUGCAACUGUUUAUUAAAAACACAGCACUGUGCAAAAUCGCAAGAUGACGUAUACGGUGUGACGCCUGCCCGGUGCCGGAAGGUUAAUUGAUGGGGUUAGCGUAAGCGAAGCUCUUGAUCGAAGCCCCGGUAAACGGCGGCCGUAACUAUAACGGUCCUAAGGUAGCGAAAUUCCUUGUCGGGUAAGUUCCGACCUGCACGAAUGGCGUAAUGAUGGCCACGCUGUCUCCACCCGAGACUCAGUGAAAUUGAAAUCGCUGUGAAGAUGCAGUGUACCCGCGGCUAGACGGAAAGACCCCGUGAACCUUUACUACAGCUUGGCACUGAACAUUGAACCUACAUGUGUAGGAUAGGUGGGAGGCUAUGAAGACGUGACGCCAGUUGCGUUGGAGCCGUCCUUGAAAUACCACCCUUGUAUGUUUGAUGUUCUAACUUAGCCCCAUUAUCUGGGGUGAGGACAGUGCCUGGUGGGUAGUUUGACUGGGGCGGUCUCCUCCCAAAGAGUAACGGAGGAGCACGAAGGUGGGCUAAUCACGGUUGGACAUCGUGAGGUUAGUGCAAUGGCAUAAGCCCGCUUAACUGCGAGAAUGACGGUUCGAGCAGGUGCGAAAGCAGGUCAUAGUGAUCCGGUGGUUCUGUAUGGAAGGGCCAUCGCUCAACGGAUAAAAGGUACUCCGGGGAUAACAGGCUGAUACCGCCCAAGAGUUCAUAUCGACGGCGGUGUUUGGCACCUCGAUGUCGGCUCAUCACAUCCUGGGGCUGAAGUCGGUCCCAAGGGUAUGGCUGUUCGCCAUUUAAAGUGGUACGCGAGCUGGGUUUAGAACGUCGUGAGACAGUUCGGUCCCUAUCUGCCGUGGGCGUUGGAAGAUUGAAGGGGGCUGCUCCUAGUACGAGAGGACCGGAGUGGACGAACCUCUGGUGUUCGGGUUGUGUCGCCAGACGCAUUGCCCGGUAGCUAAGUUCGGAAUUGAUAAGCGCUGAAAGCAUCUAAGCGCGAAGCGAGCCCUGAGAUGAGUCUUCCCUGA